AUACGGAGGGUCCAAGCGUUAUCCGGAAUCAUUGGGUUUAAAGGGUCCGCAGGCGGUCAAUUAAGUCAGAGGUGAAAGCCCAUCGCUCAACGAUGGAACUGCCUUUGAUACUGGUUGACUUGAGUUAUACGGAAGUAGAUAGAAUAAGUAGUGUAGCGGUGAAAUGCAUAGAUAUUACUUGGAAUACCGAUUGCGAAGGCAGUCUACUACGUAUAUACUGACGCUGAGGGACGAAAGCGUGGGGAGCGAACAGGAUUAGAAACCCCAGUAGUCC
rnacentral:rRNA from 1 species